UAACACAUGCAAGUCGAACGGACCUAGCCCGGUAGUAAUAUUGGGCGACGGUUAGUGGCGAACGGGUGAGUAACGCGUGAGCAACCUGCCUUUCAGAGGGGGAUAACAACUGGAAACAGUUGCUAAUACCGCAUAAUGUAUUUAGAUGGCAUCAUUUGGAUACCAAAGGUUAAAUCCGCUGAGAGAUGGGCUCACGUCUGAUUAGCUAGAUGGUAGGGUAAGGGCCUACCAUGGCUGCGAUCAGUAGCCGGUCUGAGAGGAUGAACGGCCACAUUGGGACUGAGACACGGCUCAGACUCCUACGGGAGGCAGCAGUGGGGAAUAUUGGGCAAUGGGCGCAAGCCUGACCCAGCAACGCCGCGUGAAGGAAUAAGGCCUUCGGGUUGUAAACUUCUUUUAUUAGGGACGAAGGAUGUGACGGUACCUAAUGAAUAAGCCACGGCUAACUACGUGCCAGCAGCCGCGGUAAUACGUAGGUGGCAAGCGUUGUCCGGAUUUACUAGGUGUAAAGGGCGCGUAGGCGGGAAUGCAAGUCAGAUGUGAAAUCCAUGGGCUCAACCCAUGAACUGCAUUUGAAACUGUGUUUCUUGAGUGAUGGAGAGGCAGGCGGAAUUCCUAGUGUAGCGGUGAAAUGCGUAGAUAUUAGGAGGAACACCAGUGGCGAAGGCGGCCUGCUGGACAUCAACCGACGCCGAUGCGCGAAAGCGCGGGGAGCAAACAGGAUUAGAUACCCUGGUAGUCCGCGCCGUAAACGAUGAAUACUAGGUGUGGGGGGACUGACCCCUUCCGUGCCGGAGCAAACGCAAUAAGUAUUCCACCUGGGACUACGGUCGCAAGACUAAAACUCCAAAGGGAAAUUGACCGGGGGCCCCACCACCAAGCAGUGGAUUAUGUGGUUUAAAUUCGAAAGCAAACGCGAAAGAACCUUACCCGGGGUUUGACAUCCGACUAACGAAGCAGAGAUGCAUUAGGUGCCCUUCGGGGAAAGUCGAGACAGGUGGUGCAUGGUUGUCGUCGGCUCGUGUCGUGAGAUGUUGGGUUAAGUCCCGCAACGAGCGCAACCCUUGUUGUUAGUUGCUACGUAAGAGCACUCUAACGAGACUGCCGUUGACAAAACGGAGGAAGGUGGGGACGACGUCAAAUCAUCAUGCCCCUUAUAUCCCGGGCUACACACGUAAUACAAUGGCGUUUAACAACGGGAAGCGAAGGAGCGAUCCGGAGCGAAUCCCCAAAAGGCGUCUCAGUUCGGAUUGCAGGCUGCAACUCGCCUGCAUGAAGUAGGAAUUGCUAGUAGUCGCGGAUCAGCAUGCCGCGGUGAAUACGUUCCCGGGCCUUGUACACACCGCCCGUCACACCAUGAGAGUCGGGAACACCCGAAGUCGGUAGUUUAACCUGAUAAGGAGGGCGCCGCCGAAGGUGGGCUUGAUAAUUAGGGUG
rnacentral:rRNA from 1 species